GGUGCAUCUGUGGGAAGACAAAAUAUUAGAGCCUGUGGCUGGAGAGAUGGCUCAGCGGUUAAGAGUACUGGCUGCUCUUCCAGAGGACCAGGGUUCAAUUCUCAGCACCCGGAUGGCAGCUCAUGACUGUAAAUCCAAGAUCCAACACCCUCAUACAGAUAUACAUGCAGGUCCACGGAAUGAGGCUGAUUGAUGCCUACGGAAUCCUCAGCCCUUCAAUUAAACGACUGCGGCAAAAUGCGCGGCUGGGGACUCACACAUGACGCUCAGCUCCACCGUGCGGUUGUCCUGGCCAUAGGCAUUCUCUGCCAGGCAAGCAUAGAUGCCGUCCUCUGCUGGGGUCACCUCCUCCAGAUCCAGGUACAGGCUCUCAGCAACUGCCUCCCUCAACACCAUCCCAUCCCGCAUCCAAGUCAGCAGCGGUGGCGGGUUGCUGUCAGCCCCACAGAGCAGGCUGACGUGGGAGCCCUCAAUGGCCUCCACAGAGGAAUUCAUCUCCACAAUCACCGGGGGGUCUGAGGCCCGGAAUAAGGCAAGGGGUCAGCGGGCUGAUGGAUGGGUGCGUCAAAUUUAGGACUGCUCCACAAGCCCAGGCCCCGCCCCCAGGUCCCACCUUCCAGGCCCCUUUUCUGGGUCCUACCCCCCACCAGAUCUAACUUAACUCAACCAGCGUAGGCCCCGCCCCAAGCCCCUCCCUCCAGGUGCCACCCUCCAGACCGGUUCCGCCCCAGUACGCGGUCCACCAAGGCCCCGCCCCCAAUUCCUACCCAUCCAAGCCCCGCCCACAGUCUCCCUAUCCUGCCACUCCGUGCCCGGUCUCUUCCAGUCCCCGCCCCUGCCCCAACCCGCACCCAGGCUCACACUUGACGUCCAGACUGGCGUAACCCUCGAACUGCAAGGUGGUGUUGGGGAAGGCAGCCUGACAGCCCAGACGGUGGCCGUUGGCCUCUCUAGUAGGCACGAAGUGUAGCAGUGACACCUGCACCCAGGUGCCUUCAUCCUCCCGCAGCCGACCCAGAACAGUGGGCUCCCCUAGCCCCUCGUGGCCCAGCCAGCUCAGCUCAGGGCGCAGCUCUGGGCAGUUGUCCGGCACCAUGCAGCUGACCUCUACUUCCGUUCCUGCCACCACUUCUGGGGGCACCACGAUGUUGGGGGUGUCUGAGGAGGAGAAAAAGGAGGGUUCUGGAAGUAGACUCAGGUUGUGGUCAUGCCCACCUAUCCGGCCGAGUGUCUCGCAUCAGUUACAUCCUUUCCAGGUGUUGGUCACUCCCAACCCCUAACACACACACACACACACACACACACACACACACACACACACACACACACACACACCCCAAGCACUUCACACAGCCUAUCAGGAUGCUUCUGUGGCAUGUGGAAGUUCUACUUCACCAAGCUCCUCUGUGGUCCCUGUAUAUGUCCCCUACUAGGGUGGGCCGAUGGGUUGGGGAGGAGGGACAGUUGUCAGGGUGUGAUGUAUUGUAUAGGUAUAUGAUAUUGUCCUGUUUGGCUCUGUGUCAACUUGAGUCAUGUGGGCAGAUUGAGCCUCAAAUGAGAAAAUGGCUCUAUAGAUUGGCCCGCACGGUAAGUCUUCUCUUCGGAGCAUUUUCCUGACUGAUCAUUGAUGUAGAAGGAUUUAGCUAUUGUGGGGCAGUACCGUUUUCGGCCAUGUGGUCCUGGAAGGUGUAGGAAAGUUGUUGGGUGUGAGACUGAGGAGUAAGGCAGGAAGUAGCAUUCCUUGGUGGUCUCUACUUCAGGUCCUGUCUCCGGGUUCACACCCCAGCCCUCAGUGAUGGGCCCUGACCUGAGCAUUAACUGAAAUAUCCCCUGUCCUACCGUGUUGCUUUCGGUUACUGUGUUUACCACAGCAAUAGACCGCAAGCUAAGACGGGUGUGUUAUAAGGGUGGGGAGCUGUGUGUUUUGUGGGUGCACGUGCCUGGUUUUAGGGGUGUGAUCCACGGAUACUCCCAUGUGCUGAGUGUGUGGUGUGUGCUGUGGUCUCUCCACAGCAGGGCUAUAGUGUGCCUACUCACAAAGACCAAAUACUGCUGGGAAACUUAAUCUAAGGUCUCUAAUUAGGGACUCCUCUCAGAAAUCAGACAGCGAGAGUCCCUGAGGGUGGGCAGGGACCUCUAUUUAACUGCCAAACCGGGUCACAGCUCCCUGCCUUUUCCCCCCCCGACUUCUUCCCCCCCCCCAAUCUCCUGUUUUGAGGAUCAACCCUUGGACCUGAUACAUCCUCAUCCCUCUGGUUACUUUUUAUUUUGAGGGUCUUAUUAAGUUUUUAAAGCUGGCCUCAACUAACUGAGUAUCCCAGAUGGGCUUGUAGUCUCUGCUUCAGCCUUCCAAGUAGCCGGGAAUAAGGCCUAUACCACCAGGCCCUGUCUUCUUUUUUUUUUUUUUUUUUUUUCUUUUCUUUUCGUUUUUUCGGAGCUGGGAACCGAACCCAGGGCCUUGCGCUUCCUAGGCAAGCGCUCUACUACUGAGCUAAAUCCCCAACCCCCAGGCCCUGUCUUCUUAUUUCUCUUCUUUCCCUCUGUCUGUCUGCCUGUCUUUGUUUUUUUACAUUUAUGUGUGUGUGUGUAUGUGUGUGUGUGUGUGUGUGUGUGUGUGUAAGAGCGCACAAAUGGAUGUAUGUGUAUGGACACAAGUGGGCAUGUGCAUGUCCCGUGGAAUCAGAGGACAGACAACCUAUAGAAGUUGGUUCUUUCUCUUCUUGCACCAUUUCUACCCAUGAGUUCCAGUUAUCAGAUCUGGUUGUCAGACUUGGGGACAAGGACCAUUGUCCCCUGAGCCAUUUUGUGAUACCCCCACCCCCAUCCUCUGUCUUAUUAGGAAUACAACCAUUCGAGGCAAGUGUAAGAGGUCAGCUGUUAGUCCCAGUAGUGUUGGUCUCUACUGCAAACCAUGCGCCUGCCUAGCAGGAGCCCGGCCUCUACCAGCUGGUGCUGCAAACAGCUCCCACCCUUAAAACCAUUCACCCGAUGGCUGUGCGUGGGAAACCAAGGGCCAAAGAACUCGAUCGAGGCACACAAAGUCACUCCACUAAAGCAGGCAUCUAGAACCCUCAUCUCUGAUCCCAGCCCUCUGUCUUUAGGAAGAGUAAGGGCAGCCAGACCGCUUAGGGCCUGCUUUGUUUGUGUCUGUCAUCCACGUGGCCCACCCAGCUAAACUGACCUUUUCUUGGUCUGUCAUCCAGAGCAGGUGGUCCAGAUGCUGGGGACACCCACCUGCCCCUCCCUCUCUUCCCACCCAACCCUGGGGGACCCGACUCACUGAUGAUGUCCAGGACGCUGUGCUCUGAGAAGGUGUACUGGUUGUAGCCGCCCAGGUCACCUCGGAAAUAGUAUUUCCCUCCCAGCUCAGGGCUCAGCGUGCUGAGAAGCAGGGUGCAGUUUCGUAGGCCCAGGUCUCCCAACAGGCGGCUACGGCCCUGGAAGCUCUCGUGGACCACUUGUGUGCGGGACUUGAAGACCACUGGCGGGUAGUUCUUGGGGUAGGGACUGUUGAAAUACCAGACGCCAUGUACCACAGCCGGUCUGAGCUCAUCCGGGAAGUCGAAACGGCAGGGGAUGGAGACACACGUGCCCUCGAAGGCUGAGAUGGACGAGGGCAUCCAGGCACCCCAGUGCCCCCCUCGAGAAGCUGUAGAGGGGCAGAAGCAGAGAAGCUGUAGAGGGGCAGAAGCACAGAAGCUGAGGGAUGGAGCCCAUCCCGUUAUCUCCAAAGGUUCCCACGGUGGGCCGUGGGGCUGGAAUGUGGGGGCCGGGACACCAGGAAUUACCUGAAAUCAUUAUCCAAAACAGAGGCAGGGUGGUAAGGAAUAUCAUCUUGUCCAGCAAGUGGGCGAGCUAGGGCUGGAGAGAGACAAGAGCAAGUUUUCAGAAGACCAUGAGGGUGGGGAUGGGGCGCUGGGCCAAGGUUAGCUGCUGUCAUUUAUAAAUGCCAGGCUUCAUUCAGUGUCUCACCCUGCCACAUUCUGUCAGUUGGAGCUGGCUGCUUCGAGCCAGGAACAGCCCCCAGGCUUGAAACCAGUCACCCAGGGACGUUAAGCAAGCUUCCCAAAGUCGCCCAGCUCAAACAUGGAGCCCCAGUUCUCCCCUGCCUUUAACUGCAGGUAGCUCUAGAGUAAAGGACGCCACCAUCCCGCAGUGGGCAGCCAGAUCAUUCAGGGAUCUGCUCGUCUUGUGUCUGUCAUUCUCAUAGCUCAAGUGGACAAUGGUGUUACAACUCUGAUGUCUUCGAGAGAAGCUGUGAAGAGACCACCUGACUGCCCUCAGCCUUGGACACACACACUUGGGAGGCCAUGGCUUCGGCUGUCCUGCUCGCAAGUGUGUAAGUCACGAGAACCUGAACACACUGAGGUGGGCUACGGAGAACUCCACCCAGACACAUCUAUGGGCACAGGGCAGCUGUGGCCUUGGCACCUGUGACUGGAAGGAACGGGAGAUACCCAGAGGGGAGCUGGCCUUCCAGAAGCUUCCACCGUUCAUGAGACAGGGUUUCUCUGUCCAGCGCUGGCGGGCCUGGAACUCACUCUGUAGACCAUGCUGACCUGGAACUCUGAGAUCACCUAUCUCUGUCUCCUGAGAGGUGUGUGCCACCACCACUCUGGCUCGAACACCAAAAUUGUAAUCCCUCUGCUUCACAUCUAGCGUUCUAGGACUUUCUGGAGAACUGCGUCCACACGUGAGAAAAGGAACAUCGCAGCUCUUCGGUGGGAUCAAUAGUGCUGUACGGUGGUCACUUCUGCUCAUGUAACAGAAAGCCCCAGAGAACAGCAAACCAGAGAAUGCCUAUGUUUUAGUUAUGGUUUCAAAGGUUCCUGUGAAUGGUCGGUUGCCACCAUCAAUCACAGACUCCCUUCCAGCAACCUUCAAGUCACGCCUCCACUGACCUGUUUCCUUUUUAUUUUAUGUUUAUUUUUUUUUGGGGGGGGGUUCUUUUUUUCGGAGCUGGGGACCGAACCCAGGGCCUUGCGCUUCCUAGGCAAGCGCUCUACCACUGAGCUAAAUCCCCAGCCCCUUAUGUUUAUUUUUGAGACAGUGAGGAAGACGGUUUAUUGUGCACGAGCUACACUCGGCACAAGUGAGAACAGAACUAGUUGAGAAUGCUGCAGGCACAGGCCAGCGGGCCAGCGGGACUGUUUUGGUUGUGAGGAAGGCGCUCAGUCUCUCGGGUGAUCUUAGAAAGCGCGAUGGCGAUGUCCCAGAUCUACUGAGACUAUUACCAACAGUAGCACAGGGUCCAACAACUCGAACCAGCCCUUGCCCCGGCAGCAUCCUGACGCAGCAUCCCUUACCUCUGCUCCUCAGCCUUCGAGGGUACACAAGCCAAGUUCCCUCCCCCUCCUCAUCUUUCUUCUCCUGCACUUCAGCCUGCACAUUCGCUUGUUCCUCCACUUCCCCCUCUUGGCAGAGGAGUUUCAAGGAAGAUGGCUUCAGACCCCCCGGAGGUGGAGUUAGAGGUGGCUGGAACACCCUGACCUGGAUGCUGGAAGCCAAACUCCAGACCUCUGCAAGAACAGCACAUGCUCUUAACCGCCCCGUCGUUUUUCCAGCUCCGCAGUCUACUAGCACCUUCCGGGACAGCUGGGGCUACAGUGAAACUGUGACAGAGACCUUGCCUCCCCCCUGUCGAUACUGAUUGUUCAUGUUUAGGGAGCAUUUGUCAGUUUUCAAAACCUACAUUCUUCUCCUUGACUGAGUUCAACAGGAAGAAGCACCAGUACUGUGGGGAGCCAAGCCCUGUGUCUUCAUUCAAGGACCACCUAACUAGCUUCUGCCUUGUCUCCUACAGCAACCAGGCUGUUUGAGUCUUAAGAAAAAAGGCCUUUCAGUGGGUUGAGCAAACUCCGAAUCUAGGUAAUAUGGUGACCCGAAUUCACCCGGGGAUGACUGGCUUCUAUCGACCACCUUCAUUCUGAAAUACUCAAGUCACAUCCCAAAACUGUAGGUGAAGGGAGAGAGACUUCAGGCGAGUAUGAAAGAACAAGCCAGGGGGCGGAGCAAGCCAGGGGGCGGAGCAAGCCAGGGGCGGAGCUUUUCUUGAGCUCAGACGUUUUCCGGUACACGUGCUGUGGUGUGUGUGUGUGUGUGUGUGUGUGUGUGUGUGUGUGUGUGUGUGUGUGUGUGUGUGUGUGUGUGUAAAAAUCAGGGGCUAUGACGUCAUUGUCAGCGUGGGGGAGGGUUUGCUUCUGCCGUACUGAGUAUGCUCCUUGUCCCUGAACUCAACUCUAUCAGCCUUGUGAUCAGCGCCUCUGGUUUUGCAGUGUCCCAUCAAGCCUGUGCUUGUUACAUUAAACAAAGUAAAACCAA